rfam:Ixodes scapularis strain Wikel colony gcontig_1108379552595, whole genome shotgun sequence.
UUCUAGUUACCUCAGUUGGUAGAGCACUCCACUGAAAAUGGAAAGGUCCCUGGUUUGAUACCAGGACCAGGCG